AGAGUUUGAUCCUGGCUCAGGAUGAACGCUGGCGGCGUGCCUAACACAUGCAAGUCGAACGGAGUUACUUUGGUGAAGUUUUCGGAUGGAUCUGAUUUAACUUAGUGGCGGACGGGUGAGUAAUGCGUGAGCAACCUGCCCUUCAGAGGGGGACAACAGUUGGAAACGACUGCUAAUACCGCAUAAUGUAUCCGGGAGGCAUCUCCUGGAUACCAAAGGAGAAAUCCGCUGAUGGAUGGGCUCACGUCUGAUUAGCUAGUUGGUGAGGUAACGGCUCACCAAGGCUGCGAUCAGUAGCCGGACUGAGAGGUUGAACGGCCACAUUGGGACUGAGAUACGGCCCAGACUCCUACGGGAGGCAGCAGUGGGGAAUAUUGGGCAAUGGGCGCAAGCCUGACCCAGCAACGCCGCGUGAAGGAAGAAGGCUUUCGGGUUGUAAACUUCUUUUGUCAGGGACGAGUAGAAGACGGUACCUGACGAAUAAGCCACGGCUAACUACGUGCCAGCAGCCGCGGUAAUACGUAGGUGGCAAGCGUUAUCCGGAAUUACUGGGUGUAAAGGGAGCGCAGGCGGGAUAGCAAGUCAGCGGUGAAAUGCAUGGGCUUAACUCAUGAGCUGCCGUUGAAACUGUUAUUCUUGAGUGGAGUAGAGGCAGGCGGAAUUCCGAGUGUAGCGGUGAAAUGCGUAGAUAUUCGGAGGAACACCAGUGGCGAAGGCGGCCUGCUGGGCUCUAACUGACGCUGAGGCUCGAAAGUGUGGGGAGCAAACAGGAUUAGAUACCCUGGUAGUCCACACUGUAAACGAUGAUUGCUAGGUGUGGGGGGUCUGACCCCCUCCGUGCCGGAGUUAACGCAAUAAGCAAUCCACCUGGGGAGUACGGCCGCAAGGUUGAAACUCAAAGGAAUUGACGGGGGCCCGCACAAGCAGUGGAUUAUGUGGUUUAAUUCGAAGCAACGCGAAGAACCUUACCAGGGCUUGACAUCCAACUAACGAAGCAGAGAUGCAUUAGGUGCCCUUCGGGGAAAGUUGAGACAGGUGGUGCAUGGUUGUCGUCAGCUCGUGUCGUGAGAUGUUGGGUUAAGU
rnacentral:rRNA from 1 species